rnacentral:rRNA from 1 species
AGCGAACGCUGGCGGCAGGCCUAACACAUGCAAGUCGAACGAACACUCCGGAGUUAGUGGCGGACGGCGGAGUAACAAGUGGGAAGGAGCCUUUUGGUUCGGCAUAACUCAGGGAGACUUGUUCUAAUAACGCAUGUGCCCUUCGGGGGCAAGAUUUAUUGCCAUUCGAGCGGCCCGCGUCUGAUUAGCUAGUUGGUGAGGUAACGGCUCACCAAGGCGACGAUCAGUAGGUGGUCUGGGAGGAUGACUAGGCACACUGGGAAUGAGACACGGCCCAGACUCCUACGGGAAGGAGGAGUGGGGAAUCCUGCGCAAUGGGGGAAAGCCUGACGCAGCCAUGCCGCGUGAAUGAUGAAUGUCUUAGGAUUGUAAAAUUCUUUCACCCGGGACGAUAAUGACGGUACCCGGAGAAGAAGCCCCGGCUAACUUCGUG